UUAAAAGCUGACAACCAGUGGGAAAGACUAUCUUUCUGGAGAUCUCUCCUUUUGGAGUUUUCUAGUGAGCCCAGGACAAGGAUGAGUACUGUAAGAAAAAAAGGAGAAACCAUGAAUCAGGUGACUUGAAAUUCUUCAGAUCAUCACCACUAGAUGUAUAUUUUCACCAGCAAUGAACAAGAGCCUGCAUGCAGCAUACAUUACAGGUGACCCCAUGGUGACAGUUUCCACUGCUGAAAUGCAUCAACAACCACUUCAGUGUGUUCAUAUCUACUAUUCAGACUCAUAAACAUCCAACCUUCAGAUUAUGUUCAUGUACGAAGAGUGGAUUCAGUACCUCCAUGAUCUAACAUGGAAUAUGGGCAAGUUCUCUUUACUGUGAAGAUGAUGAGCCACUGGAAUAGGUUGUCCAGUGAAGCUGUGGACACUCACCCUGAAAGUAUUCGUGGUUGGAGGAGCCCAUGGAGGCUAGAUGGGGCUUUGAAAAACUUGGCGUAGAGGGAGGCAUCUCUGAGUAUAGCAGGAAGACUGGAACUAGAUGAUCUUAAAGGUCCCUUCCAACCCAAAUCCAUGAUUCUGUGAUCCCCAAGAAAUGAAUGUGUGGGUCUUAGCUGCCAAAAAAAUGAAUACAGUUCUUAUGUGAACAAUGAUUCUUACUUGCUGGAAACUGAGAAGCACCUCCAAUAGAACACAGCUGUGUGAAAAUCAAGAACAAAGAUUUGUUUUCUUUUUCUGGCUGCAGUAAAAUACAAAUUUGGCAGAAAUAAUAAGAUAAGAUUGCUCAUAAAUAAAUAACAAAUUAAACAAAGACAGUUGGGCAGUAAUUGUUUCUGUAUUUUCAGUUGCUUCCAUUGCAAGCUUUGACAUUGACUUUAUCAGUACGUAUUCUGCGUUGGAUAAGAUUUUGGUCAGACAUGCCAAGAAAUAUAAUUUAAAUUUUACAAUACAAGUCGAUUACAACAGUAUUACCCACACCAUUUUUCAAGUGAUUUCUUGAGGCCAUAGUCACAUAAUCAUUGGAGGCCUGAAUUUU